rnacentral:snRNA from 1 species
GACCCUUUUUUGUAACAUUCACUUCAAUAAAGUAUUUUAUAUCUGUUCUUAUCAGUUUAAUAUCUGAUAUAUCCUCUAUCUGAGGAUUAUAUAUUAAAUGGAUUUUUGGAAUAGGGAGAUGGAAUAGGAGCUUGCUUCAUCCACUCCACACAUCAACCUGGUAUUGCAGUAUCUCCAGGAAUGGUGCAUCUCCC